AUGCUGCUAAUGUAUGCAAUAGAUUUCCAGGGGGUCAAAAUGGAUGCAAUUGCAUUUGAUCCAUUUCAACCGAUCGCAUAUCGCUUCAGCGACAACCUACGUGCCGGCUCAGUACACUUAUUCAAAAAAGUUAGUUUUGAACCAGCAGCUAUGCAUCUGCCAGUUGCAUUGCCGGUGCCAUGUGACUUUUACAUCGUCCUCCACUCGCGCACUGAAAUACUUCUUGCCAGGGCCAGCAUUAACAUCCCUUCGUUGCCGCCACGAUUCAUUGAUUUUAUAGAUGUCUACAGCCUCAGAAACAGGAUGCUUGCAGGUGCAUUGUAUCAUCUCACAAUGAAUUUUGCUGACAUGUAG
rnacentral:rRNA from 1 species